CACAAAUUGCAUCUAUGAAAGAAAUCUGUUAAGCACUAUUUACGACACAAAAAAAACAUUCCAAGAACUUUAUUUCACUUGAUGUCUAGUGGCAGACAGUUCCCUCUAACUUAAUGCACUUUACAUUAAUCAAAGUCUUAGUGCUCAGAGAUUUUCACGAUCUUAUUUUCUCAGCAGCAAUAAAGCUGUUUGAUAGAGCUUCACUCACGUGAGUUUGUGUGUGUAUGUGUGUGUAUUUGUGCAUUAGCACACACAUGUUUAUGCUGGGUAGGUUUGCAGAAUGGAACAAGAAGUAAAAUAAAUUUUCAAGCAAGAGCAAGGGUAUAGUUUAGCUUGCUUGUGAGAGAAAACAAAAGAAUUUAUUGGUUCCAAGUCUAUGGGCCAUUCAAAUGGCACCAAAGAAAUACACAUUUGUAUGCAAAGAUGGAAUGGUUCUUUAGGGAUUCUGCUGACAUAUUCAUCCCCUUUAAACAAGACUUAGGAAAUAUUGAGAAAAAAGAUAUGUUUCAAAUUUCUUACUGUUCUCUUUUCCCCCCUUCUUUUGUUCUUCCUACAUGGUUUAGUUCACAAGGUUUGUGUGGGGCCAGCUAAGAAUCAUUAGAUGUAUCUGGUUUUUCAGAGUUGCUUCUAAUAUUCCUGGGAUUUUAAAGGAUUCAUUGGAUACAUCAGCAUGCAUAAGUUGUUCAGGACAGACAGAAUGUGGUUCAUGUGCUCAGAUUUCAGCAUGUUCCUGGAAGGGAUAAAGCCUGCAGUACACUUACUUAAUGUUGAAGGAAAAAGAUAAACACGGGAUUCUGAGACUCUACUUUGUGAUGUUUUUAUGCUCGAAGUUCUUCCUGAGAAAUGGUCAAGCCUCAUAUAAUUUCUCAGAAACCUUUGAAUUAUAAUAGCAAAAGACUUCCUGGAAAAGCUGAGUUUGAUAUGGAGAGUGAUACAGAUUGGCAUAUUCUGCAGAGAAAUUACCCACCAGGCUGCACACAAGGCAGAAGCCUUUAUUUGAAUGGGUCUCUUCAGAGAUGUGUGAUACAAUCUGAGUUUCCUAUCAGAAGAGAAAUUCAGUAAGUCUU
rnacentral:lncRNA from 1 species